rnacentral:rRNA from 1 species
UACGUAGGGGGCUAGCGUUGUCCGGAUUUAUUGGGCGUAAAGAGCGUGUAGGCGGUCAGGUAGGUCUGGUGUGAAAACUCGAGGCUUAACCUCGAGAUGUCAUCGGAAACCAUCUGGCUAGAGUCCGGAAGAGGAGAGUGGAAUUCCUGGUGUAGCGGUGAAAUGCGCAGAUAUCAGGAAGAACACCAAUGGCGAAAGCAGCUCUCUGGGACGGUACUGACGCUGAGACGCGAAAGCGUGGGGAGCGAGCAGG